AUGGUUGAUGUGGUGGUUUUAAUUCACAUAUCGCUCUUCACUUAACUAACCGAACAAUUAUAUUACGAACUCUAACGUACUACCUUGCCUUAGAAACGACGCCCCCAAUACAUAUUGGUAAAUCCUUUAGUAAAGUGAAUGAACGAUCGAUUGCUUCUAAUGAGCAAGUCUUUGUUUUUAAGACCUAUUAUUUGAAGGAUACUUUUGUCGAAUGGGUACAUCUAGGGUCAUAUGUAAUUCAUAGAAUAUAUAGAUAAAUCAUAAUUUUGUCCUCAACUUUACUAUUAACUAUGUGGGGAAUUGUGGAGAAACACUAAUGUUACAUUUACUGUCUAAACUGUAAGCGAGAAUACUACCUAUCUGAAUAUUGUAAUAUAAAAACAUAGAAACAUUACUAAAUUUUUAAAAAUUUGAUCUGUACCACUUGUUUGAUUUUAUACUUUUUUUUCAAUUUAUUCUACGGGUAAUGCUGUUUUAGGAGUGCGAACUUAAGUAAUUGUAAUUGGGAGUUUUACCAUAGUUCAAAGAUUUGUGACACUUUUUAUUAUUCAGUGCUAAAGACUUGAGUGGUCUUAUUAGGCGAAUAUACAGAAAGAAUUUUAUUUUCUCUCCAUAAACUGCUAACUUCAAUCUGGAAGAUUUGCUAAUAUACCAAAGAUUAAAGCUUAUGUUAAUAGACUAUGUCGCGACUCUAAAAAGCCAAAACCAUAUAAAUUGAAAAUACUACGACAUCUUGCUCGUGCUGAUAAAUUGUUUUAAAACAUUUUUUGCACUUGCAUUGUAGUGUAAAUAGGACAUGAUUCUCAAAAUCAUAGACUAAAGAAAACCGCUUUGUUGAAUGUUCUUCUUCAGCAUACACAUA